rnacentral:rRNA from 1 species
UAGGGAAUCUUCCGCAAUGGGCGAAAGCCUGACGGAGCAACGCCGCGUGAGUGAUGAAGGUCUUCGGAUCGUAAAACUCUGUUAUUAGGGAAGAACAAAUGUGUAAGUAACUAUGCACGUCUUGACGGUACCUAAUCAGAAAGCCACGGCUAACUACGUGCCAGCAGCCGCGGUAAUACGUAGGUGGCAAGCGUUAUCCGGAAUUAUUGGGCGUAAAGCGCGCGUAGGCGGUUUUUUCAGUCUGAUGUGAAAGCCCACGGCUCAACCGUGGAGGGUCAUUGGAAACUGGAAAACUUGAGUGCAGAAGAGGAAAGUGGAAUUCCAUGUGUAGCGGUGAAAUGCGCAGAGAUAUGGAGGAACACCAGUGGCGAAGGCGACUUUCUGGUCUGUAACUGACGCUGAUGUGCGAAAGCGUGGGGGUCAAACAGG